AAAAAAAUAAUAAAUUUUUUUUUUAAUUUUUUUCUGAAUUAUACUAUUUCGAAAUUCAAACUCUGAACUCUAAAACUCAGCUCUAAACCCUAAACCAUCAAUCCUAAACCCUAUUUUUUUUGAAAUACGAACCCUAAACCCUAAACCAUCAAUCUUAAACCCUAUUUUUUUUAAAUAAACCCUAAACCCUGAAACAUCAACUCUAAAUCCUAAAUCCCGAAACAUCAUAUCUAAACCCUAAACCUUAAACCUUCAACUCUAAACCCUAAAACAUCAACUCUAAACCUUAAACCCUAAACUUCAACUCUAAACCCUAAACCAUCAACACUAAACCC
rnacentral:lncRNA from 1 species